GCCGGUCGUGGGCGUGCGCAUGCGUGGCCAGCGAGGUCCAGGGGCGCAGUGGGGGGAGCCCCCGGGUGGACAUCGGCCCCUUGCCUACGCAGGGCCGCCGCGAGGAUUUUCGGAGGGUCCGCCGCCGGGUCUGGGGAACCCAGCCUUCCAUGCCAAUCUACCGCUAGCUGGAGCUGCCCCAGCCCCGCUGGUCAGGGACCCUGGGUGAGGGCCAGCUUUCCGGUUAGCAUCACCUGGGGGGAGCAGGAGCGAGAGUAGGCCUCAAAAAUGACGUAAAAAGGCGCAGGCGACUCCUGUGUGCACUGUUGGGAGAGCUGUGAUUUAUCUAUCUAUCAGUGGGCUUUCCCUGCUCUCUGGCUGGUUCUGAGGGCUGGACCUCGCUCCCCGCCACUGCCACCCCCACCCCCCAGGAUUCAGUGGUCUCCUGCUGCUAUCAGAAGUGGCAUCUCAGGCCUGCCACUUGCUUUUGGAGUUGGGUGCAGAAGUGUCCUGACUCUCAGCCCCUUGGAAGGCCCAGGUGAUUCCUGUGCCCCACAAGACUGAGAGGCGCUGCUUCAAGAGAUUACAGCUGAAUAGAAAAAGAAAAGUCGGAAAAUGAUAGCAGUGAAAUUUUUCUUUAGAAGAUGCUGUUCAAAAAUCUGCUCAGGUGAAUCUCGACGCCAAAGUGGCACCUUCACUACUGACUUCUCUCCCAGUGACUCUUUUGUCAGCUGUCGUGUCGCUGGAUUUUCACUUUAGGACCUGAACGCAGAACUUACUUACUUCCUACUGUAGAUGGCACUUUUCUCUGAGGACUCAUGCCUCACUCAUUUCUGGAACAAUUUAUGCCGAGGAUCACCUGAUGCCAUUCAUUUUAAUCCAGUGUGAAUACAUUCCCAGCUCUUAGCUAGAGGUGCAGAGCCCUAUUUGAAGAACCCACACGGUCUUCCCAAAGGUCAUCCUUUCCUCCGGGUCCCAGCUGUACUGGAGGAAAAUGGGAAUUCCAGCACACCCCAAGAAGGUUCAGCUGUCCCACCUCAGUCUAAACCAGCCUUUCUCAUACCUCCUCCGGGGAUUUACUUUGAGUCAUAUCUGAGAUCUAUAUGAGCAUCCAGACUAUCUGAGAUGGAACUGUCUAAGGAGAGUACACCUGCACCACAAACCCAGGAAUCUGCAUUUCUCAGAAGCCUCUCAGAGAAGACAGGCAAUGGGACGUGCUCUAAUCUCAUUGCGUUGCUGUGAGAAGAGACUCUGAGCAAAGAGUUUCUUUCAGCUCUCACCUCCAGGUGAGAAAAGCCAGGGUGUGAUCUCAAGCAGGAACUCGACGGAGAAACAGACGUUCUGCCACUUGCUGACUCAGACUGGCCUGGACUUAGUUUUCUCAUACAGUUCACAAUUCCCUGCUUUGGGAUGGUGCUGCCCUCAGUGGGCUGAACCCUCCUGUAUCAAUUAGCAAUAGAGAUAGUUCUCCACAGACAUGCGUACAACCCUCUCUGACCCACAUAGCUCUGAACUGAGUCUCUUCUUAAUGAGUCUGUUGUGUCAAGUUGACAGUUAACCAACGUGGAAAACAAAGAUCCGCUGAUAGAGCUGGACAGGAUGAAGUUAAAAAAGGAGAGGGGUUCAGUGGUCCAUUAACACUGACCAGAGAAUAAAUGUCCUGAAAAUUGGCCAGAAAGUCUGGGGAUUGGGGAUUUAAGCAUUUUAGUGUAUUUCAUGAACAUGUUAACAUAUAUGAUAGUAGUGAGGAUAAAAAUGCCAAUGUUGUCACUUGAUGGGGACUUAGAAAUCCAGUUGUAAAAAUAAAAACUAAAGCAAUUGUAUACAUUUAGAUGAACCUCUUACAGGUUCAAAACUCACAGUAAUGCACCACACUAUUACAUUUAAUAAAACAAUCCUAAUUAAACACC
rnacentral:lncRNA from 1 species